GCAGUCGAGCGGAAAGGCCACUUCGGUGGUACUCGAGCGGCGAACGGGUGAGUAACACGUGAGUAAUCUGCCCCUGGCUUCGGGAUAGCCACCGGAAACGGUGAUUAAUACCGGAUAUGACCAUUUCGUGCAUGCGUUGUGGUGGAAAGUUUUUCGGCCAGGGAUGUGCUCGCGGCCUAUCAGCUUGAUGGUGAGGUAAUGGCUCACCAUGGCUUCGACGGGUAGCCGGCCUGAGAGGGUGACCGGUCACACUGGGACUGAGACACGGCCCAGACUCCUACGGGAGGCAGCAGUGGGGAAUAUUGGACAAUGGGCGGAAGCCUGAUCCAGCAACGCCGCGUGAGGGAUGACGGCCUUCGGGUUGUAAACCUCUUUCAGUACCGACGAAGCGCAAGUGACGGUAGGUACAGAAGAAGCACCGGCCAACUACGUGCCAGCAGCCGCGGUAAUACGUAGGGUGCGAGCGUUGUCCGGAAUUAUUGGGCGUAAAGGGCUCGUAGGCGGUUUGUCGCGUCGGGAGUGAAAACCAGGUGCUUAACACCUGGCUUGCUUUCGAUACGGGCAGACUAGAGGUAUUCAGGGGAGAACGGAAUUCCUGGUGUAGCGGUGAAAUGCGCAGAUAUCAGGAGGAACACCGGUGGCGAAGGCGGUUCUCUGGGAAUAUCCUGACGCUGAGGAGCGAAAGUGUGGGGAGCGA
rnacentral:rRNA from 1 species